CCUUUUCUUUUUUUUCAUCUAUGUACAUGUAAAAAACUGUUGUUUGAUUUAAAUUGAUUUAAUUUACUAUUUUUAAAUAAUUUAUUGUUAAAUUUAUUCAAGAAACCUGGAUAGUCAAUGCUCAGUUGACACGUUUAGGGUUUAGGCAAAUAUAAUCCGGUUGUUACGCUUCUUUACCUUUUGGUUUCGAUCGAUUCACCUCUCGGACGUUGCGAUUCUUCUCCUCUUUCAUCUGUGUCUGCACAAUUCAAGCGUUUCACUAAUUUAAUUUAUUGUUCGGAUACGUUUUGGUUCAUUAUUUUGCUGGGAGUUGAUUCCACUGGAUCCAAUUUAAAUCUUCUUACAUGGCUAUUCCACUGGAUCCAGUGCUUCUGCGACUCAUGUUUUCGAUAGAAUGGAUUCAACGUUUUAGCUUAUAUGAUGUGGCUUCCUCGCUCUCUCUCUUGCCCUCGUGCAAUUUUAUUUACUCUGUUGCUGCUGAUCAGCUUAAUAUAAUGGGCCACUGGGUCUCAGUGUCUGAGCGUGCUGAGCGAAUUGGAGGAGGGCUUAUGAUGCCAUAUAUGGUCUAACAGAGUCAAUAUGUAGCGAAUUGCAUGAUUUAAAAAAAAAAAACAUACAUUAUUUUUCUCUCUCUUUAAAAAAUUUGAGCAGAUGAGAUAGCUCCAGGAAAUUUCAAUACAUUUAAUUGAUUUUGGAUUA